CUUUUAGACAAAGCCACAAGGCAAAAGUCGUUCAUACACCAUUCCUUGAUAGCACGCUUCUGAGCUGAGAAAACAACAAGUGAGUGUAACUUUAUGAAAGUAAGUGUUCCCAUCCUUACUGACAGCAGCGCACGCAAUUGACAUAGUGUUUCGAACGACGCGGCAUAAGAGGCGCGAAACAGAUCGCCAGAACAUCGUCUAUGUUGAAGUGGCAGAGAUAAUGGAAUUCCUCCACCAAGGGUAGAUGGGGACACACAGACUCAUACCGAGCGUGUCCAAAUGGACAAUCAGGCCUCAUGGCGAGAUUGACGCGCUGUAAUAUCCUACAGGUACAAUCAGAGAUCUAUGGCGCAUGGUUCUGUGAAGAACUACUUUCCAAAGGUAUUCUAGGUCAUCCAAGAACUUCCGACUAUAGACCUGCAGGUCUACAAGCGUAAUCAAUAAGUUAUUGUUACGUUACUGAUACUGUGCAACAUCAUAAAGGUCCAUUACGCAUGGUUCUGUAAAAAACUACUCUUCAAAGGAAUUUUAGAUCAUCCAAGAAUUUUCCCGAGUCCACGAAACAUGGUUCAGCAGGGACUAAUUUGCGUAGAUGAUCCAAGGUCAUCCAAGAACAUCCGUAACUAAAUACCUUAAGAUCUACAAGCGGAAUCAAUGCAGUGUAACACCCUACAGGUCCAUGAAAGAUGUUCAAAGUCUUCCAAGAACUAUCGUGAAUAAAAGUCUUUGGAUCUACAA